AUUGAACGCUGGCGGCACGCUUUACACAUGCAAGUCGAACGGUAACAGGCCGCAAGGUGCUGACGAGUGGCGCACGGGUGAGUAAUGCAUCGGAACGUGCCCAGUCGUGGGGGAUAACUACUCGAAAGAGUAGCUAAUACCGCAUACGAUCUAUGGAUGAAAGCGGGGGACCGUAAGGCCUCGCGCGAUUGGAGCGGCCGAUGUCAGAUUAGGUAGUUGGUGGGGUAAAGGCUCACCAAGCCAACGAUCUGUAGCUGGUCUGAGAGGACGACCAGCCACACUGGGACUGAGACACGGCCCAGACUCCUACGGGAGGCAGCAGUGGGGAAUUUUGGACAAUGGGCGCAAGCCUGAUCCAGCAAUGCCGCGUGCAGGAAGAAGGCCUUCGGGUUGUAAACUGCUUUUGUACGGAACGAAACGGCUCUGGUUAAUACCCGGGGCUAAUGACGGUACCGUAAGAAUAAGCACCGGCUAACUACGUG
rnacentral:rRNA from 1 species